GUGUCCAUAGCUCAGCUGGAUAGAGCAACGGCCUUCUAAGCCGUGGGUCGGGGGUUCGAAUCCCUCUGGACACGCCA
rnacentral:tRNA from 1 species